ACCCUAGUAGCCGAUGCACACCCUGGGUCUUCCCUUCUCCGUUCUCUUCUCCUUCUUCUUCCUUUUCCUUUGUCUCUGGGCCUGUCACUCUCAAAUCCACACCGCUGCACAUGAUGCAAGCCUAGGCUGUCAAGUUCCUGCCUGAUCCAGAGGGACAGGGGGCCGCCGUUGCUGAAGGCUGCCAGCUCCUACCAUUCAACCGACGAUGUCCCCCCACCCGCCCACCAUCACCCUCCAUCCCUCUCCGCAUCCCAUGCAAAGAAUGAUGGUAACCAUAGAAACAGCAGCCAUUUGAAGGGCUCCCUUGCAAGGGGGUGUUUUACAGGGAAUGAAACCCUCAGAAAUACACAGAGAAAACAGAUUUUUUCAGGAUGACCCACUGGAUCAAGUCCUCAGUGGCUUACAAUCACCAAGGAUUAAGGGGAUUAUUCAGCAGCAUGAGCCAGCACUGGAACUGUGUGAUACUCCUCCACUGUUGAAUGAGUCCAACACACACAGAAACUAGAAAGAAUCUCUCCUAGUAUUGAGGUCAAGCUGAUCACUUAAGAGUUGCCCCAGUCCUCUUUUCUUUCCCCCUUUUGAAGACUGGAUCAACAUUCACCCUCUUCCUCCAAUCUGCUGGGAAGCACAUCUGAAAUGGAGGAGAAAAGCCGGAGAAGAUUCUGUUCACAGUGAUCAUGUUUCACAGUGGUAACUGAAGAAUGCAAAAAAGGAAUGGAUCUUGAGUGCUACUGAGCCAAAAGAAUGGUGGCUGUCCCAGUCAUAGAAUCCUACCCUCAAGGGCCAUCCACUCCAUUCUGCCAUGCAAUAAGACACCAUAAAAGCACUCCCGACAGAUGGCCAUCCAGCCUCUGCUUAAAAACCACCAAAGAAGGAGACCCACCACGAUGUGAGGGAGUGCGUUCAACUGUCAAACGGCUUUUACGGUCAAAAAUACUUCCUAAUAUUUAAGUGGAAUCUCUUUUCCUGUAACUUGAAUCCAUUGCUCUGGGUUCUAGUCGCUGGAGCAGUAGAAAACAAGCUUACUCCAUCCUCAAGAUGACAUCCCUUCAAAUAUUUAAUCAUGGUCAUCAUGUCGCCCUGCAACCUUACCUUCUCCAAGCUGAACAUACCCAGGUCCCUAAGCCACUUCUCAGAGGUCUUGAAGAUUUCCAGACCUUUCACCAUUUUGGUGGCCCACUGGACAUGCUCCAGCUUGUCCACGUCCUUUUUGAAUUGUGGUGUUCAGAAUUGGACACAAUAUUCCAGGUGAGGCCUGACCAAAGCAGAAUAGAGUUGCCCAAGUGGUCAUAGGGCAUGGGGGGGAUGCAUGGUUUUCCUGCCAGAUGUACAAUCUGCACUGGGGCUGGGACAUGGGCACACCAAGGGAGGCAGCCCUGUUGCUGCACCACACCCCUAAGGCAUCAGGAAACGUUGGCCUCACCCACAGACCUUCAGUCAUGGGUGCAACGAAACAACAAAUGGUGAAAAACCAAAAGUGGACUAUGUGAGCGGGGGGUACCCACAAAGGAACUUCUCCUUUCCUUCUUUUUCUGGGCCAAUAUUCUGGAUUCUUACCCAACCUGUGCCAUCCAAGGAUGCCACAUGGGUGCCAUGAUUCACAGUCUCAAGUCAAUUGCUGGUCCCAACCUGAUUUGACCUACUAAAUCUAUGACAUUUUGAUAGUGGCUGUGUACAAAUUCAGCAUUUGGUUCAUAUUUUAGAGACUUUUUUUAAA